rnacentral:lncRNA from 1 species
UUGAAAUUGAAUGUGGUCGAUUAUUUUGUUAGGACUUCAAUUGACCAAAUGAUUAAAUUAAUUUACGAUCUACAAUUUUUGGAUAUGUAAGUUAGAUAUAAGUUUAGAUUUGGGAUACAUUUGCUAAUAAUGAAAGAUAGAGGGUUGGAUUAUAUUAGUUGGAAGAUUAGAGAUUUCCUUUGCAAAUAUAGGUUUUUAGGCUACUAAUUACCUAUAAUUAGCCCCACUUGUUAUCCAUCACCACCAUACAUUUGGAUCAUGG